GACAGAGGGUGCAAACGUUGUUCGGAAUCACUGGGCGUAAAGCGUUCGUAGGCGGCUCUAUAAGUCGGGUGUGAAAUCCCAUGGCUCAACCAUGGAAGUGCAUCCGAAACUGCAGAGCUUGAAUAUGGAAGAGGAGAGUAGAAUUGCUGGUGUAGUGGUGAAAUACGUAGAUAUCAGCAGGAAUACCGGUGGCGAAGGCGGCUCUCUGGGACGGUACUGACGCUGAGACGCGAAAGCGUGGGGAGCGAACAGG
rnacentral:rRNA from 1 species